UGUCUCUCUUGAGUGGAUCCUGAGUACGACGGAGCACGUGAAAUUCCGUCGGAAUCUGGGAGGACCAUCUCCUAAGGCUAAAUACUCUCUAGUGACCGAUAGUGAACCAGUACCGUGAGGGAAAGGUGAAAAGCACCCCGGAAGGGGAGUGAAAUAGAACCUGAAACCGUGUGCUUACAAGUAGUCAGAGCCCGUUAAUGGGUGAUGGCGUGCCUUUUGUAGAAUGAACCGGCGAGUUACGAUUUGAUGCAAGGUUAAGCAGUAAAUGUGGAGCCGUAGCGAAAGCGAGUCUGAAUAGGGCGUUUAGUAUUUGGUCGUAGACCCGAAACCAGGUGAUCUACCCUUGGUCAGGUUGAAGUUCAGGUAACACUGAAUGGAGGACCGAACCGACUUACGUUGAAAAGUGAGCGGAUGAACUGAGGGUAGCGGAGAAAUUCCAAUCGAACCUGGAGAUAGCUGGUUCUCUCCGAAAUAGCUUUAGGGCUAGCCUCAAGUGAUGAUUAUUGGAGGUAGAGCACUGUUUGGACGAGGGGCCCCUCUCGGGUUACCGAAUUCAGACAAACUCCGAAUGCCAAUUAAUUUAACUUGGGAGUCAGAACAUGGGUGAUAAGGUCCGUGUUCGAAAGGGAAACAGCCCAGACCACCAGCUAAGGUCCCAAAAUAUAUGUUAAGUGGAAAAGGAUGUGGCGUUGCCCAGACAACUAGGAUGUUGGCUUAGAAGCAGCCAUCAUUUAAAGAGUGCGUAAUAGCUCACUAGUCGAGUGACACUGCGCCGAAAAUGUACCGGGGCUAAACAUAUUACCGAAGCUGUGGAUUGUCCUUUGGACAAUGGUAGGAGAGCGUUCUAAGGGCGUUGAAGCAUGAUCGUAAGGACAUGUGGAGCGCUUAGAAGUGAGAAUGCCGGUGUGAGUAGCGAAAGACGGGUGAGAAUCCCGUCCACCGAUUGACUAAGGUUUCCAGAGGAAGGCUCGUCCGCUCUGGGUUAGUCGGGUCCUAAGCUGAGGCCGACAGGCGUAGGCGAUGGAUAACAGGUUGAUAUUCCUGUACCACCUAUAAUCGUUUUAAUCGAUGGGGGGACGCAGUAGGAUAGGCGAAGCGUGCGAUUGGAUUGCACGUCUAAGCAGUAAGGCUGAGUAUUAGGCAAAUCCGGUACUCGUUAAGGCUGAGCUGUGAUGGGGAGAAGACAUUGUGUCUUCGAGUCGUUGAUUUCACACUGCCGAGAAAAGCCUCUAGAUAGAAAAUAGGUGCCCGUACCGCAAACCGACACAGGUAGUCAAGAUGAGAAUUCUAAGGUGAGCGAGCGAACUCUCGUUAAGGAACUCGGCAAAAUGACCCCGUAACUUCGGGAGAAGGGGUGCUCUUUAGGGUUAACGCCCAGAAGAGCCGCAGUGAAUAGGCCCAAGCGACUGUUUAUCAAAAACACAGGUCUCUGCUAAACCGUAAGGUGAUGUAUAGGGGCUGACGCCUGCCCGGUGCUGGAAGGUUAAGAGGAGUGGUUAGCUUCUGCGAAGCUACGAAUCGAAGCCCCAGUAAACGGCGGCCGUAACUAUAACGGUCCUAAGGUAGCGAAAUUCCUUGUCGGGUAAGUUCCGACCCGCACGAAAGGCGUAACGAUUUGGGCACUGUCUCAACGAGAGACUCGGUGAAAUCAUAGUACCUGUGAAGAUGCAGGUUACCCGCGACAGGACGGAAAGACCCCGUGGAGCUUUACUGUAGCCUGAUAUUGAAAUUCGGCACAGCUUGUACAGGAUAGGUAGGAGCCUUUGAAACGUGAGCGCUAGCUUACGUGGAGGCGCUGGUGGGAUACUACCCUAGCUGUGUUGGCUUUCUAACCCGCACCACUUAUCGUGGUGGGAGACAGUGUCAGGCGGGCAGUUUGACUGGGGCGGUCGCCUCCUAAAAGGUAACGGAGGCGCUCAAAGGUUCCCUCAGAAUGGUUGGAAAUCAUUCAUAGAGUGUAAAGGCAUAAGGGAGCUUGACUGCGAGACCUACAAGUCGAGCAGGGUCGAAAGACGGACUUAGUGAUCCGGUGGUUCCGCAUGGAAGGGCCAUCGCUCAACGGAUAAAAGCUACCCCGGGGAUAACAGGCUUAUCUCCCCCAAGAGUUCACAUCGACGGGGAGGUUUGGCACCUCGAUGUCGGCUCAUCGCAUCCUGGGGCUGUAGUCGGUCCCAAGGGUUGGGCUGUUCGCCCAUUAAAGCGGUACGCGAGCUGGGUUCAGAACGUCGUGAGACAGUUCGGUCCCUAUCCGUCGUGGGCGUAGGAAAUUUGAGAGGAGCUGUCCUUAGUACGAGAGGACCGGGAUGGACAUACCUCUGGUGUACCAGUUG
rnacentral:rRNA from 1 species